rnacentral:rRNA from 1 species
GGAUGAGCCCGCGGCCUAUCAGCUUGUUGGUGGGGUGAUGGCCUACCAAGGGCGACGACGGGUAGCCGGCCUGAGAGGGUGACCGGCCACACUGGGACUGAGAUACGGCCCAGACUCCUACGGGAGGCAGCAGUGGGGAAUAUUGCACAAUGGGCGCAAGCCUGAUGCAGCGACGCCGCGUGAGGGAUGACGGCCUUCGGGUUGUAAACCUCUUUCAGCAGGGACGAAGCGCAAGUGACGGUACCUGUAGAAGAAGGACCGGCCAACUACGUGCCAGCAGCCGCGGUAAUACGUAGGGUCCGAGCGUUGUCCGGAAUUACUGGGCGUAAAGAGCUCGUAGGUGGUCUGUCGCGUUGUUCGUGAAAACUCACAGCUUAACUGUGGGCGUGCGGGCGAUACGGGCAGACUGGAGUACUGCAGGGGAGACUGGAAUUCCUGGUGUAGCGGUGGAAUGCGCAGAUAUCAGGAGGAACACCGGUGGCGAAAGCGGGGUCUCUGGGCAGUAACUGACGCUGAGGAGCGAAAGCGUGGGGAGCGAACAGGAUUAGAUACCCUGGUAGUCCACGCCGUAAACGGUGGGUACUAGGUGUGGGUUUCCUUCCUUGGGAUCCGUGCCGUAGCUAACGCAUUAAGUACCCCGCCUGGGGAGUACGGCCGCAAGGCUAAAACUCAAAGGAAUUGACGGGGGCCCGCACAAGCGGCGGAGCAUGUGGAUUAAUUCGAUGCAACGCGAAGAACCUUACCUGGGUUUGACAUGCACAGGACGCCGGCAGAGAUGUCGGUUCCCUUGUGGCCUGUGUGCAGGUGGUGCAUGGCUGUCGUCAGCUCGUGUCGUGAGAUGUUGGGUUAAGUCCCGCAACGAGCGCAACCCUUGUCUCAUGUUGCCAGCACGUUAUGGUGGGGACUCGUGAGAGACUGCCGGGGUCAACUCGGAGGAAGGUGGGGAUGACGUCAAGUCAUCAUGCCCCUUAUGUCCAGGGCUUCACACAUGCUACAAUGGCCGGUACAAAGGGCUGCGAUGCCGUGAGGUGGAGCGAAUCCUUUCAAAGCCGGUCUCAGUUCGGAUCGGGGUCUGCAACUCGACCCCGUGAAGUCGGAGUCGCUAGUAAUCGCAGAUCAGCAACGCUGCGGUGAAUACGUUCCCGGGCCUUGUACACACCGCCCGUCACGUCAUGAAAGUCGGUAACACCCGAAGCCGGUGGCCUAACCCGUUUGGGAGGGAGCCGUCGAAGGUGGGGCUGG